rnacentral:lncRNA from 1 species
AAUUCUAAUCGACACAUUUAAGAGUUUUUCUUCUUUUAUUUUCUUGGUUCCUAUUGGUUUUCUUUUCUUAUUGACAUUCUUUGAUCUUUUUCUCUUCUCUCAAACCCAAGAUAUAACAACUUAAAAACACACAAACUCACUCACCAUCCUAGAUGCUAGUUCAAAUGAGGAUCUUAUGCUAGCAAUAGAUGAGAACAAACAUAUGUCGCUCCCAAUACUCUCAAGAUUUUGC